CGUACAGGUUUCCGUAGGUGAACCUGCGGAAGGAUCAUUAAAGAGUAAGGGUGCUCAGCGCCCGACCUCCAACCCUUUGUUGUUAAAACUACCUUGUUGCUUUGGCGGGACCGCUCGGUUCCGAGCCGCUGGGGAUUCGUCCCAGGCGAGUGCCCGCCAGAGUUAAACCAAACUCUUGUUAUUAAACCGGUCGUCUGAGUUAAAAUUUUGAAUAAAUCAAAACUUUCAACAACGGAUCUCUUGGUUCUCGCAUCGAUGAAGAACGCAGCGAAAUGCGAUAAGUAAUGUGAAUUGCAGAAUUCAGUGAAUCAUCGAAUCUUUGAACGCACAUUGCGCCCCUUGGUAUUCCGAGGGGCAUGCCUGUUCGAGCGUCAUUACACCACUCAAGCUAUGCUUGGUAUUGGGCGUCGUCCUUAGUUGGGCGCGCCUUAAAGACCUCGGCGAGGCCUCACCGGCUUUAGGCGCAGUAGAAUUUAUUCAAUUAACGUCUGUCAAUGGAGAGGACUUCUGCCGACUGAAACCUUUAUUUUUUACAGGUUGACCUCGGAUCAGGUAGGGAUACCCGCUGAACUUAAGCAUAUCA
rnacentral:rRNA from 1 species